rnacentral:lncRNA from 1 species
ACCAAUCCUAUGCCAGGACGUAGCAAGGCUCCUGAGGCAAGCUGGGGAAUGCAGUUCUUCCUGGCCACAACAUUUUGAAUCUCACACUGCUGAAAAUACUAAUUAAUCUCUUGGGUUUCAAUAAGAAAGAAAUGAUUUCUACGAAAAGGUGAAGGGGAUUGGAGACGGCUAUCAUCUUCUAAGUAUUGACAUGUUAGAAGACAGAAACACCAGAUGGUCCAGGAGCAUAACAGGCUAAGUUUGACAGCACAAAAGUCAAGCAUAAGUAGAACUACAUAAGUAGUACUUCAAGCAGAAGUAAUCUCUGGUAUCUAGUUCAAUAGUUUCCUAGCUGAGAACCCAUCCAACCUCUACACUGCACUUGGAUAUGAAAUUUGUAGGACUAAUCCCUUUCUCCCAAUGAAUUGUUUAUAAACAUUUUGAUGGGAUUUGCAAGAUUCUGGAGAAAUAUGUAACCAAAUUACAUGAAUUGGAUAAAACCAAAGGGACCAUCAGUUCCAAUCUACCCCUCAAUAAGAAUUCGCAAUAUGACAUAAUUGCCAACUGUCAUCUGUAUUUUUGCUUGAAGACUGCCUUUGUAGAGACAUCCAACUUUCUCGGCAGACUAUCCCCCUUUAGAAUACAUCUAAUUGUUCAGUUUGUUUGUUUUGAUUUACAAAAAGCCUUCUCUUUUUGACUUCCUGAUUAAAUUUGUUCAGCUAUUUGAGAUGUUAUAAAUGUUUCUUACAUUUACUAUUUAAGUGAAAUAAUAUUGCAAUAUAUGUGAACCUAUUUUUUCAGUCACUGUUUUUCACCACUUAUAAUUAAUUAAGUUCAAUAAUUUUCAUUAAAUAUAUAAGAUGUGUAGUGCAUUGUAUGAGAUAAUUGGGAUAAACAGAUGAAAAAGUAACUAGGCCAUCCCUGACUUUCAGUGUGGUGGAGCAAACAGAACACUGGUUCUAGGGUCAGAGGGUGCAAAUCCAGCCACUUAUCCUUACUACCUGUGUGACCUCAAACAAUUCAUUUCAUCCCCUUGAGCCUCAGUUUCCUCAUUUGUAAAAAAAGAAUAAGAUUAGAUUGCUUUUGUUAUCCCUUCAACCUCUAGAAUUAUGAUCUCAUGAUGUUUCAUUCUAUUAGUGAGAAAAGAAACAUAAACUAAGCAAAACUGCAAUAUGUCUAUAGGAGAGGUCAUAAGAUAAGGAAAAGGAUAAGAUGAUCACUUCAAGGUGGGAGGAUCAGGAAGAGAACCAAAGAAGAAGAAGUGAUGUGAAGGAGAGAGUCUUUUCCCAGUAAGGGAACUACAUGGAUAAAUGUGCACAACUGGGAAAGAGUAAGAUGACAAAGAUAAUAGUUGUUUGAUUGGAAUUGAGCAAUAAUGUGAAACAAAGAUGGGCUGAUUAUUUAGAGGUAGAUAGGGAAAUAGGGGGCAACUAACCUUUAAUAAAUAGCCCCCUGCCAAGGAAAUAUCUUCA